UGGAUCCUGAGUACGACGGAGCACGUGAAAUUCCGUCGGAAUCUGGGAGGACCAUCUCCUAAGGCUAAAUACUCUCUAGUGACCGAUAGUGAACCAGUACCGUGAGGGAAAGGUGAAAAGCACCCCGGAAGGGGAGUGAAAUAGAACCUGAAACCGUGUGCUUACAAGUAGUCAGAGCCCGUUAAUGGGUGAUGGCGUGCCUUUUGUAGAAUGAACCGGCGAGUUACGAUUUGAUGCAAGGUUAAGCAGUAAAUGUGGAGCCGUAGCGAAAGCGAGUCUGAAUAGGGCGUUUAGUAUUUGGUCGUAGACCCGAAACCAGGUGAUCUACCCUUGGUCAGGUUGAAGUUCAGGUAACACUGAAUGGAGGACCGAACCGACUUACGUUGAAAAGUGAGCGGAUGAACUGAGGGUAGCGGAGAAAUUCCAAUCGAACCUGGAGAUAGCUGGUUCUCUCCGAAAUAGCUUUAGGGCUAGCCUCAAGUGAUGAUUAUUGGAGGUAGAGCACUGUUUGGACGAGGGGCCCCUCUCGGGUUACCGAAUUCAGACAAACUCCGAAUGCCAAUUAAUUUAACUUGGGAGU
rnacentral:rRNA from 1 species